AACGCGAAGAACCUUACCAGGUCUUGACAUCCCUCUGAAUAUCCUAGAGAUAGGGUAGGCCUUCGGGACAGAGGAGACAGGUGGUGCAUGGUUGUCGUCAGCUCGUGUCGUGAGAUGUUGGGUUAAGUCCCGCAACGAGCGCAACCCUUGAUCUUAGUUGCCAGCACUUCGGGUGGGCACUCUAAGAUGACUGCCGGUGACAAACCGGAGGAAGGUGGGGAUGACGUCAAAUCAUCAUGCCCCUUAUGACCUGGGCUACACACGUACUACAAUGGUCGGUACAACGGGAAGCGAAGCCGCGAGGUGGAGCCAAUCCUAAAAAGCCGAUCUCAGUUCGGAUUGCAGGCUGCAACUCGCCUGCAUGAAGUCGGAAUUGCUAGUAAUCGCGGAUCAGCAUGCCGCGGUGAAUACGUUCCCGGGCCUUGUACCACACCGCACUACUA
rnacentral:rRNA from 1 species